UACGGAGGGUGCGAGCGUUGUCCGGAAUCAUUGGGCGUAAAGGGCGCGUAGGCGGCCCGGUCAGUCCGUGGUGAAAGCGCGGGGCUCAACCCCGCGUCGGCCAUGGAUACUGCUGGGCUGGAGCACUGUAGAGGCAGGCGGAAUUCCGGGUGUAGCGGUGGAAUGCGUAGAGAUCCGGAAGAACACCGGUGGCGAAGGCGGCCAUCUGGACCGCAACUGACGCUGAGGCGCGAAAGCGUGGGGAGCAAACAGG
rnacentral:rRNA from 1 species